rnacentral:rRNA from 1 species
GAAGUAAAAGUCGUAACAAGGUUUCCGUAGGUGAACCUGCGGAAGGAUCAUUAUUGAAAUAAACCUGAUGGGUUGUUGCUGGCUCUCCAGGGAGGCAUGUGCACGCCUUGUCAUCUUUAUAUUUCCACCUGUGCACCUUUUGUAGACCCCCCCAGGUCUAUGUUGUUUCAUUUACCCUCCAAUGUAUGUCUAUAGAAUGUUGUGCCUAUGAAAAAUCUAUACAACUUUCAGCAACGGAUCUCUUGGCUCUCGCAUCGAUGAAGAACGCAGCGAAAUGCGAUAAGUAAUGUGAAUUGCAGAAUUCAGUGAAUCAUCGAAUCUUUGAACGCACCUUGCGCUCCUUGGUAUUCCGAGGAGCAUGCCUGUUUGAGUGUCAUUAGUAUAUCAAACCCUUCCUCUUUCUGAGCGGUUUGGAUGUGGAGGCUUUUGCUGGCCGCUUAAAAAAGGUCCCAGCUCCUCUGAAAUGCAUUAGCGGAACAACCUGUCCAUUCAUUGGUGUGAUAGCUAUCUACGCUGUUGAAUGUGAGGCGGUUCAGCUUCUUAACAGUCCCCUUGGGACAACUUACCCCCAUUUUAUGUGACCUCAAAUCAGGUAGGACUACCCGCUGAACUUAAGCAUAUCAAUAAGCGGAGGAA